rnacentral:tRNA from 1 species
UCCGGCGUAGCUCAACGGUAGAGCGGCUCCCUGUUAAGGAGAUGGUUGUAGGUUCGAAUCCUACCGCCGGAG